GACGAACCGUGCGAACGUUGUUCGGAAUCACUGGGCUUAAAGGGAGCGUAGGCGGUCAGCACAAGUCAGUUGUGAAAUCUCCGGGCUUAACUCGGAAAGGUCAACUGAUACUGUGCGACUAGAGUGCAGAAGGGGCAACUGGAAUUCUCGGUGUAGCGGUGAAAUGCGUAGAUAUCGAGAGGAACACCUGCGGCGAAGGCGGGUUGCUGGGCUGACACUGACGCUGAUGCGCGAAAGCCAGGGGAGCGAACGGG
rnacentral:rRNA from 1 species